UACGUAGGGUGCAAGCGUUGUCCGGAAUUAUUGGGCGUAAAGAGCUCGUAGGCGGUCUGUUGCGUCGGCUGUGAAAACCUGGGGCUUAACCCCGGGCCUGCAGUGGGUACGGGCAGACUAGAGUGCGGUAGGGGGAGAGUGGAAUUCCUGGUGUAGCGGUGAAAUGCGCAGAUAUCAGGAGGAACACCGAUUGCGAAGGCAGCUCUAGGACGUAAUAUCG
rnacentral:rRNA from 1 species